GCCUGGCUGGCUUAGUUGGUAAAGCAUGUGACUGUUGAUCUCGGGAUUAUGAGUUCGAGCCCCAUGUUGGGUG
rnacentral:tRNA from 1 species